ACUAAAUUCAAUUAUUGGAUCGGAAACAUAACAUGUGAUAAAUGUCCACGUCUAUGGUACACUGCAUCAGGAGCAUCACGAUACAACAUCUAACAGUAGUCUGCCAUCAGAGCCGUUUCAGAAACAUUGGUAACGUUGUUCCGCUGACUAGAUAUCUUGGUAGAAGCACUCAUCUUGUUCGUGACUUACAUCAUUAAAGUUGUUAGGAAAGAAAUAUAAAUGGGAAUGUAGCAAAACGUAACUUAAUUGACAUACAACAACCCAUUUUCUGGUGAAACGAAACACGCAAACGAAAGUACUACAUACCAUAGUGGAAGUUGAGACAAGUAGAUCAAUCUGCCGUAUUCUGCCAACUACCCA